rnacentral:rRNA from 1 species
GACGAACGCUGGCGGCGUGCUUAACACAUGCAAGUCGAACGGGCCCGCUCUCUUUUUUGGGGGUGGGUUGAGUGGCGAACGGGUGAGUAUCACGUGAGUAACCUGCCCCCUGCUCCUGGAUAACUGCUUGAAAGGGCGGCUAAUACGGGGUGUGCCGGCUGGUCCGCAUGGGCCUGGUCGGGAUAGUUUCAUCUUCGGGUGUUUCGGUGGGGGGUGGGCUCUGGGCCUAUCAGCUUGUUGGUGGGGUGAUGGCCCACCAAGGCGGUGACGGGUAGCCGGCCUGAGAGGGUGGGCGGCCACACUGGGACUGAGACACGGGCCAGACUCAUGCGGGAGGCAGCAGUGGGGGGUAUUGCACAAUGGGCGGAAGCCUGAUGCAGCGACGUCGCGUGAGGGAUGGAGGCCUUCGGGUUGUGAACCUCUUUCUCCGGUGGUGAAGGCCCUGUCCGUUGCGGCGGGGUUGACGGUAGCCGGGGAUGAAGCGCCGGCUAACUACGUG